rnacentral:rRNA from 1 species
GAUUAUGGCUCAGAACGAACGCUGGCGGCAUGGAUUAGGCAUGCAAGUGAACGAACUCCUUCGGGAGUGAGUAGCGGAAGGGUGAGGAACGCGUGAGUAAUCUGCCCCCCAGUUGGGAAUAACAGUUGGAAACGACUGCUAAUACCGAAUGUGGCUUAAGCUUCGCCUGGAGCUUUGGCUAAAGAUUUAUCGCUGGGGGAUGAGCUCGCGUCCCAUUAGGUAGUUGGUGAGGUAACGGCUCACCAAGCCGACGAUGGGUAGCUGGUCUGAGAGGAUGGUCAGCCACACUGGGACUGAGACACUGCCCAGACUCCUACGGGAGGCUGCAGUCGAGAAUCUUGGGCAAUGCGCGAAAGCGUGACCCAAGCAAUGCCGCGUGUAUGAUGAAGGCCCUCGGGUCGUAAAGUACUGUCUCCCGUGACGAAAUUUGACGGUAGCGGGGAAGGAAGCCACGGCUAACUACGUGCCAGCAGCAGC